UGGGGAAUCUUGGACAAUGGGGGCAACCCUGAUCCAGCCAUGCCGCGUGAGUGAUGAAGGCCUUAGGGUCGUAAAGCUCUUUCGCCUGUGAAGAUAAUGACGGUAGCAGGUAAAGAAACCCCGGCUAACUCCGUGCCAGCAGCCGCGGUAAUACGGAGGGGGUUAGCGUUGUUCGGAAUUACUGGGCGUAAAGCGCACGUAGGCGGAUCGGAAAGUUGGGGGUGAAAUCCCGGGGGCUCAACCCCGGAACUGCCUCCAAAACUAUCGGUCUAGAGUUCGAGAGAGGUGAGUGGAAUUCCGAGUGUAGAGGUGAAAUUCGUAGAUAUUCGGAGGAACACCAGUGGCGAAGGCGGCUCACUGGCUCGAUACUGACGCUGAGGUGCGAAAGUGUGGGGAGCAAACAGGAUUAGAUACCCUGGUAGUCCACACCGUAAACGAUGAAUGCCAGUCGUCGGGUAGCAUGCUAUUCGGUGACACACCUAACGGAUUAAGCAUUCCGCCUGGGGAGUACGGUCGCAGAUUAAAA
rnacentral:rRNA from 1 species